rnacentral:tRNA from 1 species
GGGAGAGUUCCAGAGCGGUCAAAUGGAACAGACUGUAAAUCUGUCGUCUUUCGGCUUCGGUGGUUCGAAUCCACCCUCUCCCACCA